UUAAAGGGCCGGUUGGGUAAUUAUGCCACACUCACCUUCUAUUGGUGAGUGUUAUAUUGCUAUCAAGACAUAUGGUAGACAUAAUUUUUAUAAAUCAUAGGGUUGGGUCAUUAAGCCGACCCUUCA
rfam:Medicago truncatula strain A17 chromosome 2, whole genome shotgun sequence.